AUGCAGACCUUACUACACACUACGAAUACUUCAUCAACAACCUUAAAGAGACAUGGAACCUUCACUACGAAAACUCAAGGGUCCAGAUCGUUCAUUUUCCAAUCGAGUAUAUCGCGACUACGAAGCAAGGAAACCGGACUGACUGUGGCUUUCACAUGUUGGAAUACCUUGCAAAGUGGGAAGGCCGACGGGUCCCUGUCGUCACAGCUGCAAUGGUCGUUGAGCUCCGCAAAAUAUACACAUGGAAUUGGUUGA
rnacentral:rRNA from 1 species